UCCGGUAUGAUCUAGUGGUCAUGAUAUUCGGCUUUCACCCGAAAAACGAGGGUUCAAUUCCCUCUAUCGGAACGA
rnacentral:tRNA from 4 species